UAAAGUUUUAUUGGCUAACAACAAAUUGGUGCAUUAAAGCCAUCAACUGGUCUGUUUGUUAACACUUUAAACUGUCGCUCUUGUGAGAUUUUGAUGCGUUCAGUUGCUUUAAUCGGUUUGACAGAUCAUUCAGUCUGUGAUCCCCAGUGCAGUUGUUAAGUGUGUGAUCCCCAGUAUGACCACUUGUCAUACAAAAAUCUGCUGAAACCAUCAUGGAAUGUGACCUCCAAGUCUUUUAAAAACCUGUAAAGAUUGUGAAAGUUGUGUGGUGCGUCCCCAGUUUUAGUUGCAGACUCUGGUGUGCAGUUACACUUUAAUUACUCAAGAUAUAAAGGUGACAAAAACCUUUCAGGAACCUGAAAGGCCUGGUUGCCACACUUUUAGAAGCCAACAUUUCUGAACAGAUGACAGAUACUGAAGGCUGUGUACUGUCAACAACCCAAAAAAUGCUUCGGAGAUCUUGUGUAACUGGGCCUUUAAGAGAGAUCAAAUGAAGCCCACACAGAGGACGGAGAGGUCUAAUCCUGAAGAAUAAGUGAAACCUGCUGAUGAGGCUCAUAACGAGCUUCUUAUUCACACUUCCAGACAGAGAGAACACCAGCCUCCCCUCUGUGUCCCUCUUAUCCAUUUGGACUUUGAGGCGCUGCACCGGUCACCUGAGCUGGAUAAACAGCGAGCGAGUCAUCGUCCCAGAACCACCGACCUGCCAAAAGAGCUCCAGGAAUGAGGAAGUGGACCUAUCAUGUUGAGGCUGCACUCUCUGGCUUCUUCACUCAAUUGGAUGCUAACUUGUGCUCCAGUGGUGCUGCUGGUGCCAUAUUGGCUGUAUCCCAAAGUAAAGGAUCCUUCCUUGGUGGGAUCCUUCCCUCAGAGUCGGGUCCUCCUGAGACGAGACCAGAGUCCUUCCUUUCACUGGUGUAACGCACAAAUGGAACAGCCUUCAGAGUGUGCAGACCGGUGUGCGCAAAGCAUUAUGGGUAGUCGGAGCGCACGGAGGAUACACAUAUGCAUUCUUGGAAUUUGGGCAAAAGAAGGACUCUGGACAUUGGGACAGUCCUUCGGCAGAUGUCGAUGACGUAGUAUCCUUCAAAUCCAGCCGUUUGAGGAUCCUUCCUUGACAUUAUCAUUCCUGCUUUGUUGGCUUCGGGGAUAAGUGCAAGUGAAAUUACCGUUAUGACCCCAUAUUGGCUGUAAAGAGCAACAUCUCAGCUUUCAGAAAACAUUGGAAUUUUCCUGAUAGCGCAAACUGUUUAGUUAUUAUAGUAAAAGUGUCGCCGACGCAACAUUCGGUAAACUUUGGAUGCUGUGCUUUCACUGUGUGCAAAUUCUUCAGUUCAACCAUGAUAUUAUAAAUCACAUUCAAAGAAUACAUAUAGGGGCAACACUGCAUAAUCCUUUUUGGUUGAUAUGAAAUGUAUUUAUUUAGCUCCAACUAAAUAGCUGCUGGUUAGUGAACAUGCAGAAACAUAUCGUCACACUGUAAAAUAAUCGCCUAAGUCAUUUUUUGUCAAAAUUGUUUUUUUGCCUAAAUCAUCUCCUCAUGACGCCACCUAUGGUAAAAUCUCCUACAUCCUCAGUUGAUCAGAUCAUGUGAUUUUACCCCUUUAAGAUAAUGGCCUAUGUCAAGUGUGUGACU